UGGUGACAGAUCGCCAUGGGCAAGUGUCUACCUAUAUGGCAAAUGAACGACCGCAAGAUGAACAUUGCUAUGAUGUGUGGCAUGUAGCAAAAGGAGAGAAGAAAAGAUUGACAAAGCUUGCCAAGAAAAAGAAAUUCAAAUUGAUUGGGCCAUGGAUUGGUUCAAUUAUAAACCACAUCUACUGGGGUAGGAACUCCAGUGAAACUGCUGAUGAGCGAGAGGAGAAAUGGCGCAGUAUCCUCAAUCACAUUGC